AAACCAAAUGUAACUUAGCAGGAGUGUACUCACAGUUGGCUAGUGGGCCCAAAUCUCAGCUCCUCGAGCAUCUGAGGCCUUCUAACUUUUGACACCCUAAAUCUCUGCACAGGACUGGAGCCACACAUUUUCGUGCAGAUUUGACUAUACCUCCUGUAAAGAGAAAAAAAAACUAUUAAUUUUAAGUAGUUGAGAAAACUAGGACUUCCAUUUCAAUAACCAUAUCCCUGCCUUGUAGGCAUAAGACAAGUGAUGCGAGUCUAUUUCUAGUCUGUCAUUUGUCCUAGCUCCUGUAUUUCUGUGGUAGGAGCAUGUCCCCACACUUCAGAGCGGUUUGAGAGGACCAGUUGGCUCCAUCCAGGAGAAGGGUAAAUAAACAAUAAAAUAUCUGUUUUUACAGUAGAAAACCCCACAGCCAUGCAACAAGAACUAAUUACUGCUCUACCUAACAACAUGAAUGAAUAUCACACACACAUGUUGGGGGAAAAGACAGACAUAAAAGAAUACAUAGUGUAUUAUUCCAUUUAUAUGAAACUCAAAAUCAGGAAAAACAAACCUUUGGUGAUAAAUAUACAAUAGCAAUAUUAACCAGGAGAGGCAUGAUGGAACCCAGUGGGAGCUUAAAGGUCUGGGUUGCAGUUACUUGGCUGUAACAGAAGCAUAGCAUUAAUAGCAUUUAACUUGUGCUUCUUAAAAGUGAAUCAUAGCUGACAUACCGUAUUAUAUGGAUUUCAGGUGUACAAGGGAGCAGUUUGUUACUUUAAUACAUUACAAAAUGCUCACCCCAAUAGGGUUAGUUACCGUCUCUCACCAUAUACAUUCACUACAGUGUCAUUGACUGUAUCCCCAAUGCUGUACAUUACAUCCCCGUGGCUUAUUUUAUAAGAAGUUUGUGCCUUUUAAUCCCGGUUCGCUGUUCCACCCAUCCCCCCACCCAAGAUCUGUGCCCUCGAUGUAACUUACACAUCAAUAAAAAGGUAAAGAACAGUGCCUAUGCCCCAUCCCCAGAAAUUUUCUCUUAAUACUUUAUUUAUUUAUUUGUCAGAGAGUUGAGUGGGCAAGCACAAGCGUGGGGAGCAGCAGGGAGAGGGAGAAAGAAACUCCCCACUGAGCAGGGAGCCUGAUGCGGGACUCGAUUCCAGGACCCUGGGAUCAUGACCUGAGCCACUUAAUCAACUGAGCCACCCAGGUGUCCCACCAUCCCCAGAAAAUUUAAUUCAUUGGUCUGGAGUGGGGCCCAAGGAGGCAUAGCUUUUACUGACUCCCGGACACUUAACACGCAGCCAGGUUUGAGAACUGCCUGCCUUAAUCCAUUGGAUUUAACAACCUGUGGUCAGCCGAGAGAUUGGCUGUUUCUCUGGAAGAAUGGGUAGUUACCAGAGCAGCCCUUUCAUCUCUGUGGCACUCCUUCCCAGAUCAGCAUCAUCCCUUCUUAUUUCCUUCUGGCCAGUGAUAGGCCUAGAAAGGUUUUGAAAUGGGUCAGAAAAGGCCCUUAAUUAACUCCAGAACCCCACCUCACCUCCGGCCUCCUAGUAAUUUCUCAUUCUGUUUCCCCAAGCACAUUGUUCUUAUAGCUCGUUAGAGAUUGUGUUUCUCAGAUCUUGGGCUGCAGUUGUUUCCAGGGUCCUGGUCAGUUUAGUGGAGCGAUUCUCACCAUUUUUUUUUAAAUUCUCAGGACCCUCUUAACACUCAUAGUGUUCCCAAAGAGCAUUCAUAUAUGUGGAUUAUAUUUAGAAAUUAAAAGAGGAAUUUUAAAAAUAUUUAUUUAUAAAUACUAAACUCAUUACAUUUUGAUAUAUUUAAAUAGCAUUUUAUGACAAAUAACUGUAUUUUCUAAAACAAAUUUAGCAAGACCCGUAGAAUUGUUUUACGUUUUUGCAAAACUCUUCAGAAGUCUAGGUUACCGGAAGACAGCUGGGUUCUCCUGUCUGCUUCUGUGUUCAACCCAUGCCAAUACCACACGUCACAAAGCCUCUGGAAAACCACUGCACACUUGUGAGAAUGAGAGCAGAAGAGAGAAAUAGCAUCUUAGUGGUUUUGUAAAAUUGGUUUUGACCUCACAGACCCCCUGAAACAGGGUCUCCAGGCCACACUUUGAGAACCACUGCUUAGUGGGCCUCAGCUAGAGAGAGAGAGAGAGAGAGAGAGAGUGUGUGUGUGUGUGUGUGUGUCUGUGGGCGUGCUGGUGAGAGGGAACUAGCAUAGGAUACAGCACUGCACUUGAUAAGGAUAAACCAUGAUUGAACACCUCUUGUGGCCAUGGCAGAUCCUUCCCGUUCCACCCCUGACUCCAGCCACUGAUGCCCUGUGAGCAGGUCCACACAGGUGCCACUCAGCAGUGCACCCUGGAGAGAGAGGACAUCAACACCCAAAGGGCACCAUGGAGCUCCCUGUGGGGCAGGCAUCCAUCCCCCAACAGAGCGGUUGUGAGCUGAAUUCAUUCAGCUUCCCAGGAGGUCUCGGGAGACUGAGCUGCAGUCGCCAUGGCAACGGUGCCCUCGGUAACGCAAGCCUCCGUUGGCUCUUCUCAGUUUUGCUCCCUUGCUGCCCACGCCUUCCUAAUGUCACUUUCCAAAUAAACUGCCUACACACAA